rnacentral:rRNA from 1 species
AAUGAACGCUGGCGGCAUGCCUAACACAUGCAAGUCGAAUGAAACCUUCGGGUCUAGUGGCGCACGGGUGCGUAACUCGUGGGAAUCUGCCCUUGGGUUCGGAAUAACAGUUAGAAAUGACUGCUAAUACCGGAUGAUGUCGUAAGACCAAAGAUUUAUCGCCCAAGGAUGAGUCCCCGUAGGAUUAGCUAGUUGGUGAGGUAAAAGCUCACAAAGGCGACGAUCCUUAGCUGUUGUGAGAGGAUGAUCAGCCACACUGGGACUGGGACACGGUCCAGACUCCUACGGCGGGCAGCAGUGGUGAAUAUUGGACAAUGAGCGAGAGCAUGAUCCAGCAAUGCCGCGUGUGUGAUGAAGGCCUUAGGGUUGUAAAGCUCUUUUACCCGGGAUGAUAAUUACAGGACCGGGGGAAUAAGCUCCGGCUAACUUCGUGCCAGAAGCCGCCGUAAGAC